CCAAUCGAACCCGGAGAUAGCUGGUUCUCCUCGAAAUAGCUUUAGGGCUAGCCUCGUUUUAGUCUUGUGGAGGUAGAGCACUGAAUUUCCGCGGGGGCGUCAAAGCUUACCAAAGAAUAUCAAACUCCGAAUGCCAUUAAGAUGAUGAACGGGAGUCAGACUGUACGAGAUAAGUUGGACAGUCAAAAGGGAAAGAGCCCAGACCACCAGCUAAGGUCCCAAAGUGUGUGUUAAGUGGAAAAGGAUGUGGGGAUUCAAAGACAACUAGGAUGUUGGCUCAGAAGCAGCCAUUCAUUCAAAGAGUGCGUAACAGCUCACUAGUCGAGAGUCCCUGCGCCGAAAAUGUCCGGGGCUGAAACACAACACCGAAGCUGUGGAAUCAUACCUAGUAUGAUUGGUAGAGGAGCAUUCUUAAGACCGACGAAGCUGUACCGAUAAGGAGCAGUGGAGGGAUAAGAAGAGAGAAUGCCGGAAUGAGUAGCGAGAGGAAGGUGAGAAUCCUUCCGGCCGAAUAUCCAAGGAUUCCAGGGUAAAGCUGAUCUGCCCUGGGUAAGUCGGGACCUAAGGAGAGGCCGAGAGGCGUAUCCGAUGGACAACAGGUUUAGAUUCCUGUACCACAUAUGGUCAGAACUGUGGGGACGCAGAAGGAAAGCAUGAGCCAGGAAUGGAAAGACUGGUACAAGCAGAGGGGAUGGUGUGCUGGCAAAUCCGCACACGAAAGUCCUUGCUGUGAUGUGGAGCGAACCAAAGUAGCGAAGCAUGCGGACCGGCUGCCGAGAAAAGCCGCUAUUGUGCCAUAUGUGCCCGUACCGUAAACCGACACAGGUGGAUGAGGAGAGAAUCCUAAGGCCGACGGAAGAAGCAUUGUUAAGGAACUCGGCAAAAUGACCCCGUAACUUCGGGAGAAGGGGUGCCCCAGAGAUGGAGCCGCAGAGAACUGGCCCAAGCAACUGUUUAGCAAAAACACAGGUCUAUGCAAAACCGAAAGGUGAGGUAUAUGGGCUGACGCCUGCCCGGUGCUGGAAGGUUAAGAGGAGAGGUUAGCGCAAGCGAAGCUUUGAAUUUAAGCCCCAGUAAACGGCGGCCGUAACUAUAACGGUCCUAAGGUAGCGAAAUUCCUUGUCGGGUAAGUUCCGACCCGCACGAAAGGCGUAAUGAUUUGGGCACUGUCUCAACAAUGCACCCGGUGAAAUUGAAAUACCAGUGAAGAUGCUGGUUACCUGCGCCAGGACGGAAAGACCCCAUGGAGCUUUACUCUAGCUUGAUACUGGGGUUCGGUAUUGCAUGUACAGGAUAGGUGGGAGACUGAGAAGAUGUGUCGCCAGAUGCAUCAGAGUCGAUGUUGGGAUACCACCCCUGCAGUACUGGGCUUCUAACCUGCAGCCGUGACCCGGCUGGGGGACAAUGUCUGGUGGGGAGUUUGACUGGGGCGGUCGCCUCCGAAAGAGUAUCGGAGGCGCUCAAAGGUUCCCUCAGAAUGGUUGGAAACCAUUCGAAGAGUGCAAAGGCAGAAGGGAGCUUGACUGCGACACCGACGGGUGGAGCAGGUACGAAAGUAGGACUUAGUGAUCCGGUGGUAUAAAGUGGGAUUGCCAUCGCUCAACGGAUAAAAGCUACCCUGGGGAUAACAGGCUUAUCACUCCCAAGAGUUCACAUCGACGGAGUGGUUUGGCACCUCGAUGUCGGCUCAUCGCAUCCUGGGGCUGUAGUAGGUCCCAAGGGUUGGGCUGUUCGCCCAUUAAAGCGGUACGCGAGCUGGGUUCAGAACGUCGUGAGACAGUUCGGUCCCUAUCCGGCGUGGGCGUAGGAUAUUUGAGAGGAGCUGUCCUUAGUACGAGAGGACCGGGAUGGACUGGCCGCUGGUGUAUCUGUUGUCUUACCAAAGGCAUAGCAGAGUAGCCAAGUCGGGAAGGGAUAAACGCUGAAGGCAUCUAAGCGUGAAGCCCCCCUCAAGAUGAGAUAUCCCAUAACGUAAGUUAGUAAGACCCCUUGAAGACGACGAGGUAGAUAGGCAGAAGGUGGAAGUGUGGUGACAUAUGGAGCUGAUCUGUACUAAUAGGUCGAGGGCUUAACCAA
rnacentral:rRNA from 1 species